GCACAAUCUCUACUCUCAAAAUAGGGCUCUGAAGUCUAGGAACAAGUCCUCAGCUCCUGAAAUGACAGAGGAGGAAAAGAUGCAGAUGCCUCCAGCUAUUACGAGUCCCAUGGCAACAAGGAUCAGAGGCAGAGCUGCUUUCCAUGCCGUGAACUGGGAGCUUCUGGAGAAGGUAGCUGGAGAAGAUUCCCAGAAGCCAGGAAUAUUGGGAACCAUGGGACACCAUGCCAAGAGUGAGCCCUCAUGAAAACUGCACUCUGGGUGCUGACGGCAUUGUCAACGGAAGUUCAUCAAACAUGGUGGACGUUCCUUCUGGUGUAGGGUUUUUAUGCUGGGGGAAGGUGUGUGAGGGGGUUAGGGGAAGAUGGGAACUCUCUGGACUUUCUACUAAAAUUUGUUGUGACCCUAAAACUGCUUUAAAAAAUAAAGCCUAUUUUAAAAAACCCUAAAAA